GAUCAUGGCUCAGGACGAACGCUGGACGGCGUGCCUAACACAUGCAAGUCGAGCGAGGAGAUCCUUCGGGAUGAUCCUAGCGGCGGACGGGUGAGUAACACGUGGGCAACCUGCCUCAUAGAGAGGAAUAGCCUUCCGAAAGGGAGAUUAAUACCUCAUAACAUUGCAGUUUCGCAUGGAACAGCAAUUAAAGGAGUAAUCCGCUAUGAGAUGGGCCCGCGGCGCAUUAGCUAGUUGGUGAGGUAACGGCUCACCAAGGCGACGAUGCGUAGCCGACCUGAGAGGGUGAUCGGCCACAUUGGGACUGAGACACGGCCCAGACUCCUACGGGAGGCAGCAGUGGGGAAUAUUGCACAAUGGGGGAAACCCUGAUGCAAGCAACGCCGCGUGAGUGAUGACGGCCUUCGGGUUGUAAAGCUCUGUCUUCAGGGACGAUAAUGACGGUACCUGAGGAGGAAGCCACGGCUAACUACGUGCCAGCAGCGGC
rnacentral:rRNA from 1 species